UGAUGAAGGCUUUCGGGUCGUAAAACUCUGUUGUUAGGGAAGAACAAGUGCUAGUUGAAUAAGCUGGCACCUUGACGGUACCUAACCAGAAAGCCACGGCUAACUACGUGCCAGCAGCCGCGGUAAUACGUAGGUGGCAAGCGUUAUCCGGAAUUAUUGGGCGUAAAGCGCGCGCAGGUGGUUUCUUAAGUCUGAUGUGAAAGCCCACGGCUCAACCGUGGAGGGUCAUUGGAAACUGGGAGACUUGAGUGCAGAAGAGGAAAGUGGAAUUCCAUGUGUAGCGGUGAAAUGCGUAGAGAUAUGGAGGAACACCAGUGGCGAAGGCGACUUUCUGGUCUGUAACUGACACUGAGGCGCGAAAGCGUGGGGAGCAAACAGGA
rnacentral:rRNA from 2 species